UAGGGAAUAUUGGACAAUGGGUGAGAGCCUGAUCCAGCCAUGCCGCGUGCAGGAAGAAGGCGUUAUGCGUUGUAAACUGCUUUUGCCAGGGGAUAAAAAGACUCUGCGGAGUUUAUUGAAGGUACCUGGUGAAUAAGCCACGGCUAACUACGUGCCAGCAGCCGCGGUAAUACGUAGGUGGCAAGCGUUGUCCGGAUUUAUUGGGUUUAAAGGGUGCGUAGGCGGCCCUGUAAGUCAGUGCUGAAAUAUCCCGGCUUAACCGGGAGGGUGGCAUUGAUACUGCAGGGCUUGAGUACAGAUGAAGUAGGCGGAAUUGACGGUGUAGCGGUGAAAUGCAUAGAUAUCGUCAAGAACACCGAUAGCGAAGGCAGCUUACUAGACUGUAACUGACGCUGAGGCGCGAAAGCAUGGGUAGCAAACGGGAUUAGAUACCCCUGUAGUCCCUGAGCGGGCUGGCAAGGCGCAU
rnacentral:rRNA from 1 species